rnacentral:rRNA from 1 species
GACGAACGCUGGCGGCGUGCUUAACACAUGCAAGUCGAACGGAAAGGCCCUGGCUUUGUGGGGUGCUCGAGUGGCGAACGGGUGAGUAACACGUGAGUAACCUGCCUUUGACUUUGGGAUAACUUCUGGAAACUGGGGCUAAUACCGGAUAGGAGCUCCUGCUGCAUGGUGGUGGUUGGAAAGUUUCGGCGGUUGGGGUAGGACUCGCGGCUUAUCAGCUUGUUGGUGAGGUAGUGGUUUACCAAGGCUUUGGCGGGUAGCCGGCCUGAGAGGGUGACCGGCCACAUUGGGACUGAGAUACGGCCCAGACUCCUACGGGAGGCAGCAGUGGGGAAUAUUGCGCAAUGGGCGGAGUCCUGAUGCAGCAACGCCGCGUGGGGGAGGACGGCCGUCGGGUUGUAAACCGCGUUCGCCUGUAACGAAGCGUGAGUGACGGUAAUGGGUAAAGAAGCACCGGCUAACUACGUG